UACGUAGGGUGCAAGCGUUAUCCGGAAUUAUUGGGCGUAAAGAGCUCGUAGGCGGUUUGUCACGUCUGCUGUGAAAACUGGAGGCUCAACCUCCAGCCUGCAGUGGGUACGGGCAGACUAGAGUGCGGUAGGGGAGAUUGGAAUUCCUGGUGUAGCGGUGGAAUGCGUAGAGAUCGGGAGGAACACCAGCGGCGAAGGCGGCGACCUGGACAGGUACUGACACUCAACUACGAAAGCGGGGGGAGCAAACAGG
rnacentral:rRNA from 1 species